rnacentral:rRNA from 1 species
CUGUAGUAGACCAACAGGGAUUGCCUUAGUAACGGCGAGUGAAGCGGCAACAGCUCAAAUUUGAAAUCUGGCCCUUGGGUCCGAAUUGUAAUUUGUAGAGGAUGAUUUUGGUGCGGUAUCUUCCGAGUUCCUUGGAACAGGACGCCUUAGAGGGUGAGAGCCCCGUACGGUUGAAUGCCUAGCCUCUGUAAAUCUCCUUCGACGAGUCGAGUAGUUUGGGAAUGCUGCUCUAAAUGGGAGGUAAAUUUCUUCUAAAGCUAAAUAUUGGCCAGAGACCGAUAGCGCACAAGUAGAGUGAUCGAAAGAUGAAAAGCACUUUGAAAAGAGGGUUAAAUAGCACGUGAAAUUGUUGAAAGGGAAGGAUUUGUGACCAGACUUUUUCUGGGCGGAUCAUCCGGGGUUCUCUCCGGUGCACUUUGCCCAGUAAAGGCCAGCAUCGGUUUUCGGCGGGGGAUAAAAGCAGUAGGAAUGUGGCUCUCUACGGGGAGUGUUAUAGCCUAUUGUAUAAUACCCUGCUGGGGACCGAGGUACGCGCUUCUGCAAGGAUGCUGGCGUAAUGGUUAUCAAUCACCCGUCUUGAAACACGGACCAAGGAGUCGAACAUUUGUGCGAGUGUUUGGGUGUUAAACCCUCACGCGUAAUGAAAGUGAACGGAGGUGAGAGCCCUUACGGGUGCAUCAUCGACCGAUCCUGAAGUUUUCGGAUGGAUUUGAGUAAGAGCAUAACUGUUCGGACCCGAAAGAUGGUGAACUAUGCGUGGAUAGGGUGAAGCCAGAGGAAACUCUGGUGGAGCUCGCAGCGGUUCUGACGUGCAAAUCGAUCGUCAAUCUGCGCAUGGGGGCGAAAGACUAAUCGAUCAUCUAGUAGUGUAC